UUUAUAGAGGAAAGUCCGUGCUCCAUAGAGCGAGGGUGCCGGGUAACACCCGGUGGUGGCGACACUAAGGAAAGUGCAACAGAGAGAUACCGCCGCGCAAGCGGUAAGGGUGGAAAGGCGAGGUAAGAGCUCACCAGCGAUUAGGCGACUAAUUGGCUAUGCAAACCCCAUCCGGAGCAAAACUGAAGCGACACAAAAUUGCCGCUGCUCGUGGCAAGUCGAGAAUGGUAGGUUGCUAGAGGUAUUAGGUAACUAAUAUCCAAGACAGAUAACUGUCUAAUACAGAACACGGCUUAUAGAUUUA
rnacentral:RNase_P_RNA from 1 species